UACGGGGGGGGUAAGCGUUGUUCGGAAUUACUGGGCGUAAAGCGAGUGUAGGUGGUUGUCCAAGUUGGAUGUGAAAGCCUUGAGCUCAACUCAAGAAAUGCAUUCAGGACUGGAUGACUAGAGGACCGGAGAGGAUAGUGGAAUUCCCAGUGUAGUGGUGAAAUACGUAGAGAUUGGGAAGAACACCAGUGGCGAAGGCGGCUAUCUGGACGGUUUCUGACACUAAGACUCGAAAGCGUGGGGAGCAAACAGG
rnacentral:rRNA from 1 species